UGGGGAAUUUUGCACAAUGGGGGAAACCCUGAUGCAGCGACGCCGCGUGAUUUAGAAGGCCUUCUGGUUGUAAAAAUCUUUUCUAUGGGAAGAAAAUGACAGUACCAUAGGAAUAAGGACCGGCUAAUUACGUGCCAGCAGCCGCGGUAAUACGUAAGGUCCGAGCGUUGUCCGGAAUCAUUGGGCGUAAAGGGUACGUAGGCGGGUAAGCAAGUUAGAAGUGAAAUCCUAUAGCUCAACUAUAGUAAGCUUUUAAAACUGCUCAUCUUGAGGGAUGGAAGGGAAAGUGGAAUUCCUAGUGUAGCGGUGAAAUGCGCAGAUAUUAGGAGGAAUACCGGUGGCGAAGGCGACUUUCUGGCCAUAACCUGACGCUGAGGUACGAAAGCGUGGGUAGCAAAAAGG
rnacentral:rRNA from 1 species